rnacentral:rRNA from 1 species
CCCUUAGAUGUUCUGGGCCGCACGCGUGCUACACUGAUGCAUUCAACGAGUCUAAAACCUGGUCUGAUAGGGCUGGGUAAUCUUUUGAAAGUGCAUCGUGAUUGGGAUAGAUGAUUGCAAUUCUUCAUCUUCAACGAGGAAUGCCUAGUAAACGCAAGUCAUCAGCUUGCAUUGAUUACGUCCCUGCCCUUUGUACACACCGCCCGUCGCACCUACCGAUUGGAUGGUCCGGUGAAGCCUCGGGAUUGUGGUUCUUGCCGCUUUAUUGUGGCGUGACCGCGAGAACUUGUCUAAACCUUAUCAUCUAGAGGAAGGUGAAGUCGUAACA